GAUGAACGCUGGCGGCGUGCCUAAUACAUGCCAGUCGAGCGAACGGACGAGAAGCUUGCUUUUCUGAUGUUAGCGGCGGACGGGUGAGUAACACGUGGAUAACCUACCUAUAAGACUGGGAUAACUUCGGGAAACCGGAGCUAAUACCGGAUAAUAUUUUGAACCGCAUGGUUCAAAAGUGAAAGACGGUCUUGCUGUCACUUAUAGAUGGAUCCGCGCUGCAUUAGCUAGUUGGUAAGGUAACGGCUUACCAAGGCAACGAUGCAUAGCCGACCUGAGAGGGUGAUCCGCCACACUGGAACUGAGACACGGUCGAGACUCCUACAGGAGGCAGCAGUAGGGACUCUUCCGCAAUGGACGAAAGCCUGACGGAGCAACGCCGCGUGAGUGAUGAAGGUCUACGGAUCGUAAAACUAUGUUAUUAGGGAAGAACAUAUGUGUAAGUAACUGUGCACAUCUUGACGGUACCUAAUCAGAAAGCCACGGCUAACUACGUG
rnacentral:rRNA from 1 species